AUUGAACGCUGGCGGCAGGCUUAACACAUGCAAGUCGAGCGAGCGGCGGACGGGUGAGUAAUGUAUGGGAAACUGCCCGAUGGAGGGGGAUAACUACUGGAAACGGUAGCUAAUACCGCAUACUAUCAGAUGUGCCCAGAUGGGAUUAGCUAGUAGGUGGGGUAAAGGCUCACCUAGGCGACGAUCCCUAGCUGGUCUGAGAGGAUGACCAGCCACACUGGAACUGAGACACGGCCCAGACUCCUACGGGAGGCAGCAGUGGGGAAUAUUGCACAAUGGGCGCAAGCCUGAUGCAGCCAUGCCGCGUGUGUGAAGAAGGCCUUAGGGUUGUAAAGCACUUUCAGCGAGGAGGCGUUACCCGCAGAAGAAGCACCGGCUAACUCCGUGCCAGCAGCCGCGGUAAUUC
rnacentral:rRNA from 1 species